rnacentral:misc_RNA from 1 species
UUUCCGUAGGUGAACCUGCGGAAGGAUCAUUACCGAGUUAGGGUGCCUAAACCGCGCCCGACCUCCAACCCUUUGUCUACCUGACCUUAUGUUGCUUCGGCAGGCCCGCCUUCCCCUCCGGGGAGGCCGCCGGGGGUCCGCAAGGACCCCGGGCCCGCGCCUGUCGACGGCCCUCAUACCUAAACUAUUGUUAAAACGUGUCGUCUGAGUUAUCUAAACAAAUGAAAAUUAAAACUUUCAACAACGGAUCUCUUGGUUCUG